GCUUUUUCCCCCCAGGCCUGUUGGUGUAUACUACAGAGAAGCUUACAUGGUCUUGGGGGUGAAAGGC
rfam:Salmo salar isolate Sally breed double haploid chromosome ssa24, whole genome shotgun sequence.